rnacentral:lncRNA from 1 species
UACUUGUCUUCUAACAUUAUCUUUAAGUUCCUGGAAGGCAGAAAGUGUGUGCUACCCUGCUUGAAUGUCCCACAACGCCUAGCAAAGGACAAUGUAAACGGCAGGCCCUGAAAAAAUCAGAGAAAGGACAUGACAUCGUUCAGUCGUUUGUUAAUAACAUAACUAAUAAUAUGACUUGCUAUUAUUAAGCUUGUCAUAGGCUGCAGAGAACAAGACAGACACGGGAAUUGCGUUCCAAACUGCAAGACUCAGAGAACUCAGCAAGAGUAAGGAAUCCCUCUUGGGAAAGAUACUCUGGUUGUAUGGGAGGUUGGAAGACCCCCAGGUGAAAACCUGGAGGCGGGCGGAACUGUCGGACUGCUGGCAGCCGGGAAGGGUUUCCCCAACGCUCUGGGCUGGCCCAGCGGAAGUAGGGGGAGGCGGGGGGCGGUGCACCGGGCUGCCAGGAGCUUGUCACGCGACGUCCUCUUCUUGUCGCCGACAACAAUCCCAGCCUCCUCUGGAAGUCGCUUUUGCGCCAAAGGACUGAAGUCCUGCGGUGCCUGCGCCCGCGCUUCGCUGUGCGGACCGGGCGGCGCCGGAAAGCGGCGCGGGGAGGGAAGGGCGGCUUCGGAAGCCGGGGAUCCCGCCCGCCUACCGGGCUUUGGGCCACUUUGCAGCCGGCGACGGGCACGCGCAGACCCGUUCUCCCGGCCGAGGUGCCCCCCGUCUGCAGAGCGGGGUUUUCUGAUGGAGAUGGGGCUGUGUGCAGGCGUGUGGGGAGCCCUGGGCGGUGCCUGUCUGAAAAUCGGCUGUUAAAGUGACAAAUCAAAAUGGCUAGAAGCUGAUUGCUGCGCUCACCUGUGACCUCCCAGCUGGAGACAAUAGACUUGCCUCCUGCUACGCCCACCAAGGUCUGAGCUUGUUCAUCUGGAAGAAAAGAAGGCUGGACUAGAGCAGUGGUUCUCAAACUGGUCCCCAGACCAGCAACAUCAGCAUCACUGGGAACUUGUCAGAAAUGUAGAUUAUCAGGCCCCCCUUAGACCUAGUAAAUCAGAAACUCAGUGGUGAGCCCAGCAAUCUGUCUCUUAACAAGCCCUCCACGAGAUUCUGAUUUAUGCUCAAGUUUGAGAACUGCUGGACUAGAUGGUCUGGAGAAUCUCUCGGAAAAAAGAGCGCUCAUACUUCUUAGCUGGCUCAUAAGGUCCUCACUAAUCUGGUGCCCCUCUAACUGCCCAGUCUCUUAAGUCAACAGGCCUCUGCAUCUGCAUAAAACUACAAAAAUGUCCUUACAGAGACUUGCUCUUUGAAACUCUGUGUCUUUACAUGUGCUGUUCCUUCUUCCUGAAAUAACCUUUUUCUUCCACUACCUGUCUGUCUCCUAUCUGUCCUUCAACACUUGUUUGAGUGGUCACCUCUUCUAGGAAGACCUUCUAAUACCUCCCUUCUCAGGUCAGGUGUCUCCCCUCUGUGCUCUUCUAGCACUUUAUAAACGUCUCUGUUAUAUCGUUUGCCACCUUUAUCUGGUGCCCCACCGGACAGAGCUAGGUGUGGCCAGAAACUAUUUUAUUUCUGAACACUCAGGGCCUGCCACAAUGCCAGCCACAUAGUAUGUCCUCAGUAAACGUCAUGGCAUGAGUGAUUGAGUGGAUGACUUGCAUCCUCGUGUCAACUACCUGAAGGCUCAGAUGAUGACUUUUGAUUCUUGUUCAUCAUCUCGUAAUCAUUGAUAGUUAAUGUUUUUCAUAUUAUAAAUCCCAAUGAUUGUCUGAUCAUCAAUGCUAACUACUGUUAGUAAUGCUUUAUAGCAUAUUGCAUAAUCCAAGUUCUGUCAGAUCUGUUAGUCCACUUGAGCCUGUCAGCAAUCUAGUGAACUAGGUUAGAGCAGGUAUUAUUUUCAUGAUUUUAACAGCUGAGAAAACCACUCACAGAUACUAAAUGGCUUUCCUUGAUUAUCUAUUUCUGCUAACAUUAUUUUGUAUGUCCUCUGUGCAAGGCAUUGUGAUAGAAAAUGAGAAAUACAAAAGCUAGUAAGGACAUAAUCCUUGUCCUCCAGAAACCUAUAUUCUAGGAAAAAUUAAAACUUAUCCUCCAAGGGGCCAGCCCUGUGGCAGAGUGGUUGGGUUCCUGUGCUCUGCUUCAGCGGCCCAGGGUUUGCCAGUUCAGAUCUUGGUCGUGGACCUACACACCACUCAUCAGACCAUGCUGUGCCAGCAUCCCAGAUGGAAGAGCUAGAAUGGCCUGCAACUGGGAUAU